GUGUGCGUCAUGUGCUGCAAAGGGCUGGACGAAGAUUUCAGGACGGCGCUUCGGCAGCGCUGAAUUGAUCAGAUGCUCAUUAUAGCUCGACCUGCCAGCUGAUCGGAGGCUCUCACCACCUUCGUCGUUUUGUUUUAGAAGGCAGCUUUUCUAGAGCAUCAGCUGCCUCCCACCCCACCCGGGUCGCCGGACUGCACGUAGCAAAGCCGAGCAAAGUCUUAUCGCACCGUGCAGGACGGCUUUACGAACCGGGGAGAUUCUUUGGGGCGGGGAUGGUUUGCGGUCCCUCCACUGCGACCAGACUGGUGGCGGAGACCGUGAGAGCUGGUGAGAGAGCCGGGCGGCUGCUGCCGUCUGCGAAGGAUGAUCAUGCUCCGAUUUAAGUCCGUCUGCUCCCGCUUUGGAUUUGGAUGCGCAUGGAUUGCCGUACUAACAUUGGAGUGCAGAUGAUGAGCGUUGCACAGGGGAUGUCGUUUUAUAUCUGAAAACAAGUAAGCCAGAAUUUGAACAUUUUUGGCAAGAUUACGUCUUUGUUUAAAAAAGGGGAACAAUCCUGGGGGAAAACAACGGGGGAAAAGGAGUAUCGCCGACUGGCACGAAGAUCCAUGGUCGUCGUUAGACUGCAUGUGUGUAACCCGAGUGUGCGGCAGCGGUAGGCAGAAUAUGAGUCUACUGUAUCAAACAUUGCGGAUGCUUCAGAAAUAAAUAAAUAACUCAUGUCCCCCCUUUUCCUUUUUUGUGUAAAAAAAUCCGAGAGCUGCCGCAACCAUAGACAAGAUGCCCAGCUGAAAAAAUCCCGUGGAUUUGGAUCCUUAUUUUUAUUUUUCAGCGUAUGAUUUAGUUAAUCACUGCAUUGGCAUCAUAUUCAUAAUUUAUACAGUUAUGAUAACCAUUGCUGUUUGAACCUCUCAGUGCUGUAUUUGAAUCCAACUUGCCCGAUUGAAAUGAUUCAAAAUUCCCAAUAUCGUGGAUCUGGAGACCAUUUGGACCAACUAGAACAUUUGUAUUAGUGUAUUUUUUUAGAAUAUGUUUAUGCUAGUUUUUUUAACAUAAAAUCGAGCCGGAGAAGGACCGUACUACGGUAAUAGGUGGACAAGCAGCCAGCUCGCCACACGUUCCCUUUUUCACACCCAUACUUGCCCGAUUUCAUAAAUAUUUGCGGAUAUUCUCUCCAUGGGCGUCCGUCGUUCUUACUGUUUUUCUGGCAAAGAAGGAACCGAAGAUCAUAUCAGUUGCAUGCUUAUUUAGUCCUGAAGCAGAUGGGAUGUAAUGUGGUGUGGCUGCGCUGACUACUCGCUACCUUCUCUGCUGCUUCGACACGACUGGCGUUUGGUGACUAGAGAAUGGCGCGGUUUGGAGAUGAGGUGCCGUCCAGGUAUGGCGGAGGACCUGGCCAGGGGGGUCCCGGCCGCGGCGGCAGUAGGCAAGGUGGCCCGCCGGGAGCCCAAAGGAUGUACAAGCAAUCGAUGGCCCAGCGAGCCCGAACCAUGGCCCUUUACAACCCGAUACCGGUGCGCCAGAACUGUUUCACAGUCAACCGGUCCCUGUUCAUCUUUAGUGAGGACAACUUCGUGAGAAAAUACGCCAAAAAGAUCACCGAAUGGCCUCCUUUUGAAUACAUGAUCCUGGCCACCAUCAUCGCCAACUGCAUUGUCCUGGCCCUGGAGCAGCAUCUGCCUGACGGGGACAAGACCCCCAUGUCCGAGCGCCUGGACGACACAGAGCCCUACUUCAUCGGCAUCUUCUGCUUCGAGUCAGGCAUCAAGAUCCUGGCCCUGGGCUUCGCCUUCCAUAAGGGCUCAUACCUGCGCAAUGGCUGGAACGUCAUGGACUUCGUAGUGGUGCUCACCGGAAUUUUGUCCACGGUGGGAUCGGAAUUUGAUCUCCGGACGCUGCGAGCAGUGCGGGUCUUAAGGCCCCUAAAGCUGGUGUCCGGAAUUCCCAGCCUGCAGGUGGUGCUGAAGUCCAUCAUGAAAGCCAUGAUCCCCUUGCUACAGAUUGGGUUGCUGCUCUUCUUUGCCAUUCUCAUGUUUGCCAUUAUUGGCCUCGAGUUCUACAUGGGCAAGUUUCACACGACCUGCUUCGACCUUAUCACCAGAGAGAUCCGAGAGGAAUUCCCCUGUGGAAAAGAACCCCCAUCCAGAUUGUGUCCCAAUGGCACGGUGUGUCGGGAAUACUGGCUCGGUCCCAACUAUGGGAUCACCCAGUUUGACAACAUCCUGUUUGCCGUGCUCACUGUCUUCCAGUGCAUCACCAUGGAGGGCUGGACUGACCUGCUCUACUACAGCAAUGAUGCCUCAGGAAGUGCCUACAACUGGAUGUACUUCAUCCCCCUGAUCAUUAUCGGCUCCUUCUUCAUGCUGAACCUGGUUCUGGGAGUGUUGUCAGGGGAGUUUGCCAAGGAAAGGGAGCGGGUGGAGAACCGGAGCGAAUUUCUCAAACUACGCAGACAGCAGCAGAUUGAGCGGGAGCUUAAUGGCUACCUAGAGUGGAUUUGCAAAGCUGAGGAGGUUAUCCUGGCGGAUGAGGAUAACGACACAGAUGAUCGAAUGCCCUUUGAUGGUUCCCGGCGACGGCCCACCAUGAAGAAGAGCAAGACUGAUCUUCUUAACCCAGAGGAAGGAGAAGGUGACAUUGCCGUAGGAUCACCAUUUGCCCGGUCCAGUAUCAAGAGCUCAAAACUAGAGGGAUCCUCCUUCAACAAGAAGGAGAGACGCCUGCGCUUCUUCAUCCGCCACAUAGUGAAGACGCAGGCCUUCUACUGGACCGUGCUGUGUCUGGUGGGCCUCAACACGCUGUGCGUGGCCGUCGUGCACUACAACCAGCCGGAGCUGCUCUCCGACUUCCUCUAUUUCGCAGAGUUCAUCUUCUUGGGCAUUUUCAUGUCGGAGAUGUUGAUAAAGAUGUAUGGCCUGGGAACCCAGCCUUAUUUUCACUCGUCCUUCAACUGCUUCGACUGUAUUGUCAUCGUGGGGAGCAUAUUCGAGGUGCUCUGGGCAAUCAUCCAGCCUGGAACCUCCUUUGGCAUCAGCGUCUUACGAGCUCUCAGGCUGCUCAGGAUCUUCAAAGUAACCAAGUACUGGGCGUCUCUUCGGAACCUGGUCGUAUCUCUCCUCAACUCCAUGAAGUCCAUCAUCAGCUUGCUGUUCCUUCUGUUUCUCUUCAUCGUGGUCUUCGCUCUGCUGGGAAUGCAGCUGUUCGGCGGCCAAUUUAAUUUUGAGAGCGGCACACCUCCCACCAACUUCGAUACAUUUCCUGCAGCAAUAAUGACAGUUUUCCAGAUCCUGACAGGAGAGGACUGGAACAUGGUAAUGUAUGAUGGUAUCGAGUCUCAGGGCGGCGUGAACAAGGGCAUGGUCUUCUCUGUCUUUUUCAUCGUCCUAACACUCUUCGGCAACUACACUCUGCUCAACGUAUUCUUGGCCAUCGCCGUCGAUAACCUAGCCAACGCCCAGGAGCUGACUAAGGAUGAGCAGGAGGAGGAGGAGGCCGCCAGUCAGAAAAUCGCCCUCCAGAAAGCCAAGGAGGUUGCGGAAGUAAGCCCGCUGUCCGCGGCCAACCUGUCCAUUGCCGCUAAAGAACAGCAGAAGAACCACAAGGGCUCCAAGUCUGUGUGGGAACAGCGAACCAGUGAGCUACGCAGGCAUACCCUCAUGACCAGCCGGGAGGCUCUCUACAAUGAGCUGGACCCGGAGGACCGCUGGAAGGUGUCAUAUUCACGCCACAUCCGGCCCGACAUGAAGACCCACCUGGACCGGCCGCUGGUGGUGGAUCCUCAGGAGAAUCGCAACAACAACACGAACAAGACCAGGCCAUGUGACGAACAGGAACAGCGCCUGGGCCAGCAGCGUGCCGAGGAGUUCACGCGCAAGCAGGCCCGCUACCAUGAGCGAGGCGGUGGCGCGAGGCAGCCCUACGAAAGGGCCGACUCUACUGAGUCUCGCCGGGGCCGCAAGGAGCAUGAGCCGGGUCAGAACCAGCACCCCUACCCUCAUUUGGACGGCCCUGAUGACCGCAACCGGGACCCCCAUCGCCGGCACCAGCACCGGCCGGCAGCCGGCCGUGCCAAGGAGGGACGCAGCAUGUCCCCCCGCGGCGAAGGGGGUCCCGUGGAGCACCGGCGACCUCGCCAACACCGCCGCCCACCAGAGGACGAGGAUGGGGGAGGGGGGCGAGGCGGCCGGCACAGAGGCCCACCGGGCGAGGGGGGGAACCGGAGCAGGCCGUCUGACGGUGACUGUGACCACAUGGAUGGUGGGGAUCGCAGGCAGAGACGUCAUCGCCAUGGUGCCCAGUCCACAUACGACAAUGAUGGAAAGAAGGACCGAGACCGGGAGCGUGUCCGGCAGCACCGGGUCCGGAAGGACGGCCAUGGGAAUGGACCACAUCUGUCCACCACCCGGCCGAUUCAGCAGAGCCUGACCCGGCAGGACAGCCAGUACAGCGAGGACUUGGACAACAUGAUGAACAGCAAGUUAGCCACGCAGCCCACUGUCACCGCCGCUCGCAACCACACCUCCCCCCAUAUCCUGUCUAAUCACAGCCCCUCGUCCCUCCCAAGUCCUGCCAAUCACGCAAGCAGCCCUGUCCUGUCCAACAGUAUGCCCAAUGCUGUCAAGGCUCCCGGAAACAGCAACCCAGAGAAGGCUUCUGAGAACAGCCUCAUCCUGAUGAACCCAGCGUCCACCCCCACUAAGACAAGCACCAAGAAGCCAGAUCAUACCACUGUGGACAUGCCACCGGUGUUCCCCUCCAAUAAUGCUAUCCUGCAGGUGAACAAGAAUGCCAACACAGAGCCAUUGCCCAAGAAGGAGGAAGAGAAGAAAGAAGAGGAGGACGAUGACGAUAAAGGCGAUGAGAAUGGACCCAAACCCAUGCCACCCUACAGUUCCAUGUUCAUCCUGUCCACCACUAAUCCGUUCCGCAGGCUGUGUCACUACAUCGUGACGUUACGUUAUUUCGAGAUGUGCAUUCUGCUGGUCAUCGCCAUGAGCAGUAUUGCCCUGGCGGCAGAAGACCCUGUGCAGCCCGACUCACCCCGAAACAACGUUCUGCGGUACUUCGACUACGUCUUUACUGGCGUUUUCACAUUCGAAAUGUUAAUCAAGAUGGUGGACUUGGGCCUUGUGCUUCACCAGGGCUCCUACUUCCGUGAUCUGUGGAACAUCCUGGACUUUAUAGUGGUUAGUGGUGCCCUGGUGGCGUUCGCCUUCACAGGGAGCAGUAAGGGGAAGGACAUCAGCACGAUCAAGUCCCUGCGAGUUUUGAGGGUGCUGCGUCCACUGAAGACCAUCAAGCGGUUGCCCAAGCUGAAGGCCGUGUUCGACUGUGUGGUGAACUCUCUGAAGAACGUCCUCAACAUCCUGAUCGUCUACAUGCUCUUCAUGUUCAUCUUUGCUGUGGUGGCCGUCCAGCUGUUCAAGGGACGCUUCUUCUAUUGCACCGACGAGUCCAAGGAGUUUGAGCGCGACUGCAGGGGCGAGUACUUGGUGUAUGAGCGUGACAAUGAAGUAAGAGCUCAGAAGCGGGAGUGGAAGAAAUACGAUUUCCACUACGACAACGUGCUUUGGGCCCUGCUCACUCUCUUCACUGUGUCUACUGGAGAGGGCUGGCCGCAGGUGCUGAAACAUUCAGUGGAUGCGACUUAUGAGAAUCAGGGCCCGAGCCCGGGGUACCGGAUGGAGAUGUCCAUCUUCUACGUGGUGUAUUUCGUGGUCUUCCCCUUCUUCUUCGUCAACAUCUUUGUGGCUCUCAUCAUCAUCACAUUCCAGGAGCAAGGAGACAAGAUGAUGGAGGACUAUAGUUUGGAAAAGAACGAGAGAGCCUGCAUUGACUUUGCCAUCAACGCCAAGCCUCUGACACGCCAUAUGCCCCAGAACAAGCAGAGCUUCCAGUACCGAAUGUGGGAGUUCGUGGUGUCGCCCCCAUUUGAGUACACCAUCAUGGCCAUGAUCGCGCUCAACACCGUGGUGCUCAUGAUGAAGUACAACGGAGCCUCAGACGCCUACGAGAACGUUCUGAAGUACCUCAACAUUGUUUUCACUGGCCUUUUCUCUAUGGAGUGUUUGCUGAAGAUCAUCGCUUUUGGAGCACUGAACUACUUCAAGGAUGCGUGGAACAUUUUCGACUGUGUGACUGUCCUUGGCAGCAUCACAGACAUUUUGGUGACAGAGCUAGGGAACAACUUCAUCAACCUGAGUUUUCUCAGGCUCUUCAGGGCAGCUCGUCUGAUCAAGCUGCUACGCCAAGGCGAGACCAUUCGCAUCCUGCUCUGGACCUUCGUGCAGUCAUUCAAGGCCCUGCCAUAUGUGUGCCUCCUCAUCGCCAUGCUGUUCUUCAUCUACGCCAUCAUCGGCAUGCAGCUUUUCGGAAACAUAGAGAUCAAUGAGGAUGGAGAGAGUGCCAUCAACCAGCACAACAACUUCAGGACCUUCUUCCAAGCCCUCAUGUUACUCUUCAGGAGCGCCACAGGGGAGGCGUGGCACGACAUUAUGCUCUCCUGCCUUGGGGGGAAAAUGUGUGACCCACGCUCUGGCAACAAGGAUCCGGAGUGUGGCAGCGAGUUUGCCUACCUCUACUUCGUCUCCUUCAUCUUCCUCUGCUCCUUCCUGAUGCUGAACCUCUUUGUGGCUGUCAUCAUGGACAACUUUGAGUAUCUGACCCGGGAUUCGUCCAUCCUGGGCCCUCAUCACCUGGAUGAGUACGUCCGCAUUUGGGCCGAGUACGAUCCAGCUGCGUGCGGGCGCAUUCAUUAUAAGGAUAUGUACAGUUUAUUACGAGUUAUCGACCCCCCCCUGGGCUUAGGCAAGAAAUGCCCCCAUAGGGUGGCCUGCAAGAGACUGCUGCGGAUGGAUCUGCCAGUCGCUGAUGACAGCAGCGUCCAUUUCAACUCCACCCUCAUGGCCUUAAUCCGCACUGCGUUAGACAUCAAGAUCGCCAAGGGUACGGAAGGUGGUGCAGACAAGCACCAGAUGGACUCCGAGCUGCGGAAGGAGAUGAUGGCAAUCUGGCCCAAUCUCUCCCAGAAGACUUUGGACCUCUUGGUCACCCCACACAAGCCUACAGACCUGACGGUGGGCAAGAUCUACGCAGCCAUGAUGAUUAUGGAGUACUACCGCCAGAGCAAAAUCAAAAGGACCCAGGCCCUCCUCGAGGAGCAGAAUCGAACGCCAUUAAUGUUUCAGCGCCUGGAGCCCCCCUCCCCAACCCAGGAAGGUGGGCAGGGAGUCAACGGUCUCCCAGAGCCACAGAUGGACCCUACCAGCAAUUUGCCACUGGAAGGGGGGAUGAGAGAGAGCCAAUCCUGGGUAACAGCACGGGCCCAAGAGAUGUCCCAGAAAGCUGGAAGCUGGAGUCCAGAAGGACCGCACCCGGAUGACCUGCACGGUGGCCGCCAUGACCCACAGACGGUAGAGAUGAGAGAGAUGGGGCGGGAAGGUCACUCGGACAGUGAGCACUAUCUCCCCAUGGAAGGGCACGGGAGGGCUGCCUCCAUGCCCCGACUUCCAGCAGAUAACCACCGGAGGAAAGCAAGGCCUCGUGGGAAUAACCUCAGUACUAUCACGGAUGGCAGUCCCAUGAAGCGCUCAGCAUCAUCACUGGGCCACGGCCGCCCAGGUAAAGGCACACGGAUGGACGACUAUGCCACGGACAGGGUGAUCCCAGAGGAGGGCCCACGACACGGGCACCGGCGCCGGGAGCGAAGCCACCGUACCUCAGAGCGCUCGCUGAGCCGCUACACAGAUGCUGACACAGGGCUCGGAACAGACCUCAGCACCACCACGCAGUCAGGAGACUUGCCGCCUAAAGAGAAGGACCGAGACCGAGACCAUGACCGCGAGCGAGACCGUGACCGCGAGCGGGACCGGGAACGUGGGCGACCCAAAGACAGGAAGCACCAUCACCAUCACCACCAUCAUCACGGAUCCAUGGACAAGGAGCGCUACGGGCAGGACAGGGGCGAGUAUGGCCACCGUCCACCCCGGGAGAGAGAGCACCGCUGGUCCCGCUCGCCCAGUGAGGGCCGGGAGUGCAUGACACACAGACAGGUGGGCUCCAGAGCGUCAUCACAUUAGUACACACUGACACUGCAAACAAAUGGACAGAAUAGCACACUAACACUCACAAAGAGGUAUAAAAUGGCACACUGACACUCACACAGAGGUACAGAAUGGCACACUGACACUCACACACAGAGGUACAGAAUGAUACACUGACACUCACAUACAGAGGUACAGAAUGACACACUGACAUUCACACACUGAGUGACAGAAUGGCACACUGACACUCACACACAGAGGUACAGAAUGGCACACUGACACUCACACACAGAGGUACAGAAUGGCACACUGACACUCACACACAGAGGUACAGAAUGGCACACAGACCCUCACACACAUAGGUAUAGAAUGGCACACUGACACUCACACAGAGGUACAGAAUGGCACACAGACACUCACACACGGAGGUACAGAAUGGCACACUGACACUCACACGCAUAGGUACAGAAUGGCACACUGACAUUCACACACUGAGGGACAAACUGGCACACUGACACUCACACACAGAGGUACAGAAUGGCACACUGACACUCACACACUGAGGUACUGAAUGGCACACUGACACUCACACACUGAGGGACAAACUGGCACACUGACACUCACACACAGAGGUACAGAAUGGCACACUGACACUCACACACUGAGGUACUGAAUGGCACACUGACACUCACACACAGAGGUACAGAAUGGCACACUGACACUCACAGUCUCCCUCUUGUAGGGACCAAAAAAAUGGUCCCCACAACAUCAAAAUAACAGGUUUUAUCACAUUAUGGGGAAAUUUGGUCCUUACAAUGUAAUGUAUACAUAACUCAGAAUCACAUGUUGGGAUACACACAAGGUACAGAAUCACACACUGAGACACACACACUGACACAACUUUCUCUUCCCACAUACUGUUUUACAGUAAGCCAAACAGAGAUAUACACUGCAUAAAGACACACACUGGCCGCCAAGCUUUUGUACAUACGCAGCGCACACACCUGUCACACGCACCACACACACUAUGCACACACACUGCACACGCACCACACAUCUCACACAUUGAUGUUGCUGCCUGACUGUUUCUCCGCCUUCCCUAUAAAGCAUAUUCUCAGGACCUGACCGUCCUCUCAAUAUGUGUGUAUUUCCCUUUAAUUGUCCCUAAACCAUUGAAUUUUACCAGAAUGCCCGCUUUGACUGGGGUAGGGGAUCCUUCCCGUCACCCCCCUGAUGCACCUGCCGCUUCUAAGGCUCAAAGUGGCAUUAAUUUAGAGGCGG